rnacentral:rRNA from 1 species
UACAGAGGUCUCAAGCGUUGUUCGGAUUCAUUGGGCGUAAAGGGCGCGUAGGCGGGCGAUCAAGUCCGGGGUGAAAGCCUCCAGCUUAACUGGAGAAGUGCCUCGGAUACUGAUUGUCUUGAGGAGGGUAGGGGCAUCUGGAACUAGCGGUGGAGCGGUGAAAUGCGUUGAUAUCGCUAGGAACUCCGGUGGCGAAGGCGAGGUGCUGGACCCUUUCUGACGCUGAGGCGCGAAAGCCAGGGGAGCGAACGGG